CACUCGGUUCUGUCUCUCUCUCUCUCUCUCUCUCUCUCACACACGCACACACACACACGAUAUAUACUUCUGUCUCAAACGCUACCAAACCUCACCCCCACUCACCACCCGACUCACCAUCCUUGUUAACAGUUACCAUCGAACUUCCACCACCGACUAUCGCGGCUCUCACUACCGCCGCUGACCAUCCCGGCUGUCGCCACCGUCGCUCACCAUCGCGGUCCCCCUCCCAGCCACAUUCAGCAAAAGGGCAACCGGAUGAUGGACAAGGCCAGCAAUGCUGCCCAAUCUGCCAAGGAAAGCCUGCAAGAGGGGCUCAUAACAGGCUCAUAACAUCACCACCUGUUGCUGUUUUUCCUCACCCCCUUGCAAGUGAUCUUAGUUUCUCAAGGUACUGGAAUUACUUGAGGAAGCACACAUUUGUUUUGGAAUCUAUGGCUUCUUGAAGAUCUCUGUCUUUUCCAGUAGCUUAUUUGUUUGAAAGAGUUCUCAUUGAAAAGAUCCGUAGAUAGUGAUAUCCUUCCUGCUUUGCAUCAUCAUAACCAAUCUAAUGAUCAAAUCUCAGACAUACAUGAAAAUAAGGUAAAGCGACUAGCUAGUGAAAAUCUGCAGAUCAGCACACUUCCUUGACCAGCUAAAGUACAACCUUCAGGUCUGCGAAUGCCAUCACCAAAGAUUGGUUUUUUCGAUGGGGAAAUUUUUGCCCUGAGAUGAAACCGUUGUGGAGAAAAGAUUCCUUGAUAGAUAAAAAUGAAAUUUGCCUGUGUUUAAUUCUAGCAACUUGAAGAAUCAAUUUAUGCUGUGAAUGCACAACUGUCCAAAGUAAAAGAGAGAUUUGUGUUGGGAAUACAAGUUACGAUCAUGAGUUUGUUGGUUUGGAUAGUAUAUGUAUUUGUUAGAUUAUACUAUAUUUAUGAAUUUUUAUUUUGUUUGAUAUGUAUGGUUAAUAGUUAAGUUUUGUAUGUGGUUGAAAAUUGAAUGGUACAAGUUGUGGAGAAUAUUUUUAUUGAA